rnacentral:rRNA from 1 species
GAUGAACGCUGGCGGUAUGCUUAACACAUGCAAGUCGAACGGGAAGUUUUCGGACUUCUAGUGGCGGACGGGUGAGUAACGCGUGAGAAUCUGCCUUUUGGACGGGGACAACUGCUGGAAACGGCAGCUAAGACCGGAUAUGCCCUUGGGUGAAAUAUUGUAUAGCCAAAAGAGGAGCUCGCGACCGAUUAGCUAGUUGGUGGGGUAAGAGCCUACCAAGGCUGCGAGCGGUAGCCGGUUUGAGAGGACGCACGGCCACACUGGGACUGAGACACGGCCCAGACUCCUACGGGAGGCAGCAGUGGGGAAUUUUCCGCAAUGGGCGAAAGCCUGACGGAGCAAUACCGCGUGAGGGAGGAAGGCUCUUGGGUCGUAAACCUCUUUUCUCAAGGAAGAAUCAAAUGACGGUACUUGAGGAAUCAGCAUCGGCUAACUCCGUGCCAGCAGCCGCCGUAAGAC